GGCGCAUUGGGAUUGCUUGUCAUAACUUCAAAGGACUGAAAGAUGAAGCAAUAUGAAGGCUUGGGGGGAAAUCCAAGUAAAACAUUCUUGGAGUGGUUGUUGCCAUUUGUUUUCCCUUGAGAGAGGAUUUCCAAUCUUUUUUUUCUUUUUUCGGAUAAAUUAAGAUGUGAUAGAUGUUUAAGGAUGAGUAGCAUUUGAUACUUGCGUAGCUGACCUCCAGCCCAACUUCUUCCGCUGUUUUU
rnacentral:misc_RNA from 1 species